GGCACUACAAGUGACAUGCCAAUGGGCAGUUUAGCAAAAGCUGGAAGUGCCUUGACAUUUACAGUACACUGAAACAGUGGCUGGCUUGAAAAAUCCCAAAACGAUUUUCUGCAGGAGAGCCCUUUUGACUAAUAUGAGAUGGCACAGCCUCCAUCAAGCCAGGUGGACUGAGUAGCGCAAACUCUCUCUUUACCUGUGUUGGACAG
rnacentral:lncRNA from 1 species